UCCCCCUGACAAUGGGCAAAGAAAACAUCUUUUUGGUGGCGUUGUUCUUAUAUCAGUCAGGGGCAGAGCAGACGGCAGGCCUUUGUUCAUCCUAGUUUGAUGCCUGGUUUGCUGGCCAAAGCUCUGUAAUGCCUAGGACCCAUAA